rnacentral:rRNA from 1 species
UACGUAGGGUGCGAGCGUUAAUCGGAAUUACUGGGCGUAAAGGGCUCGUAGGCGGCCAACUAAGUCGGACGUGAAAUCCCUCAGCUUAACUGGGGAACUGCGUCCGAUACUGGAUGGCUUGGAUUUGGGAGAGGGAUGCGGAAUUCCAGGUGUAGCGGUGAAAUGCGUAGAUAUCUGGAGGAACACCGGUGGCGAAGGCGGCAUCCUGGACCAAUAUUGACGCUGAGGAGCGAAAGCCAGGGGAGCAAACGGG